GUGACAAUAAAUACUGAUACAGGGGGCUUUUGCUUCGUGUAAUUGGAAUGAGUACAAUUUAAAUCUCUUAACGAGGAACAAUUGGAGGGCAAGUCUGGUGCCAGCAGCCGCGGUAAUUCCAGCUCCAAUAGCGUAUAUUAAAGUUGUUGCAGUUAAAAAGCUCGUAGUUGAACCUUGGGCCUGGCCGGCCGGUCUGCCUCACCGCAUGCACUGGUUUGGUUGGGCCUUUCCUUCUGGGGAGCCGCAUGCCCUUUACUGGGUGUGUUGGGGAACCAGGACUUUUACUUUGAAAAAAUUAGAGUGUUUAAAGCAGGCAUUGGCUCGAAUACAUUAGCAUGGAAUAAUAGAAUAGGACGCGUGGUUCUAUUUUGUUGGUUUCUAGGACCACCGUAAUGAUUAAUAGGGAUAGUCGGGGG
rnacentral:rRNA from 3 species